rnacentral:rRNA from 1 species
UACGGAGGGUGCGAGCGUUGUCCGGAAUCACUGGGCGUAAAGGGCGCGUAGGCGGCGCGGGUAGUCAUCGGUGAAAGUUCAGGGCUCAACUCUGAAUCGGCCGGUGAUACUCCCGUGCUCGAGCACUGUAGAGGCAGGUGGAAUUCCGGGUGUAGCGGUGGAAUGCGUAGAGAUCCGGAAGAACACCGGUGGCGAAGGCGGCCUGCUGGGCAGUUUAGCUGACACUGAGGCGCGACAGCGUGGGGGGCAAACAGG